rnacentral:rRNA from 1 species
UACGUAGGUGGCGAGCGUUGUCCGGAUUUACUGGGCGUAAAGGGAGCGUAGGCGGAUUCUUAAGUGGGAUGUGAAAUACUCGGGCUCAACCUGAGUGCUGCAUUCCAAACUGGGAAUCUAGAGUGCAGGAGGGGAGAGUGGAAUUCCUAGUGUAGCGGUGAAAUGCGUAGAGAUUAGGAAGAACACCAGUGGCGAAGACGACUCUCUGGACUGUAACUGACGCUGAGGCGCGAAAGCGUGGGGAGCAAACAGG